rnacentral:lncRNA from 1 species
GGGAAUUGGCAUGAUUGAGUGACGCACUCUCCAUGUUUCUUCAUCCCUUCCAGAGAGCCGAGUUCUGUCACCACAGACAUUGGCAGUGGCACUUGCAUGCCCCUGGCAAGCAGUCUAUCCUGAGGUGGAGGAAGUUGCCCUUGAGUUCUGGCUGGUAACCAGCACAGUAUACCCUUUAAGCGUUCCAGAAGGAUUUUGAGAUCCUUUCCUAAAUCAAAGGUGGAAUAUUUGGGGAUUUGGAAAAUUGAGAUGUGAAGCGUUGACUUAAGAGAUGCCAAGUAACUCAGCAGAUGUCACACAGACGAUAAAUAGCAAAGAUGGAAGUCUUCAUGCCGGAGGCAAUCCUAUAAGACAGCUGAGUUCUGCAGAGCUGGAGACAGACUUGCUCAGGUGAUAGAUCCAGCCAUGAUACUGACCCUAAGAGAAUGAGACGCUCUGCAGAAGACAGAAGAUUCCUGAAACUGGGAAAGGUGCCUAGAAAUCCUGAUAAGAGUGAAGAAGGGUACCUGGAGGCACAGCAGCCAUGUUGAACCUAUGAGGUGAUGAAAAACCAUGCAACUAGAAACCAGAAUGGAAGAAAAGAAGAAGCUGGAUCCUUGACUGAAUUGUCGAUGGGGGAUAGUCCAUCAUCCCAGGGCUAAGACCACCUCCAGAUUUCUUGUUUGGUGAAACAAGUCCUGAUUGUUUACAUUCCCUCGUGUUGAGCUGUCUCUUGCUUGUAGCUGAAAGCAUUUCUAAUAGAUAUUCAGAUUAUCAGCCUUAGCUCCAAGCUAGAAUACUCUAUGGGACCUUAGCUUCUCCAUGAAUUCCUUUGCUCAUCUGUGUAAUGCUCAAUAAAUGUAAAUUGAACCCUGAAUGAGGGACAAUGACACUAUUGAAGUCAUGAUUGUCAAUCUUAUUAACGGACUAACUACUUAACAAAAAGGUUGGAACACUGCCUGACGCACAGUAAGCGGCUGGGGAAAGGGUUUGCCAAAUGGAGUGACAAGAAAACAGUCAUGUUUAUAGGCUUUCUUUUACAUCUUGAUCCAUCUUCAAGCCUCUGUGGUCUUUAAGCAGAACCUUGACCCCUUCAGUACUGGGGCUCCUGGAGCAUGACACGCCCCCUAAACUCUUGUCUCAAAACACCCACUCUAGCAGUUUCUUUUUGACAAAAAAAAAGCCUUCUUAGUGAAUGCUGGCUUGUGAAAAAGAAGGGGCUGUGAUCAUCAAAUCGUGUUAGUAGAUGACCAAAAUACCCAAAGCAAUUCAUGCAAAUAGAUUCAAGUCUCUCUGGGCAAGCCUUCCUGAAGGCUCUAGAAUUUCUGAAGCUCAUUUUUGAAAGGGUCUUUCCAUAUGGUGGCCUUUUUCUUUUUUGCACCUCCUCCCUUCUUUCUCAUCAGAGCUAAAGGGAUGCUCAGACUCUCUGUCCUUUCUGUGUAGUGAGGGACCAGGCUGCUGGGCGAGUGUGAAGGAGCGAGUGUGAUUUGGGAUAUUCUUUUCUGGUAUGGCAAUGGCCAGCCUUUAGAGAGGUCAUUUGAAGUUGGCCAACAAGUAGACAUUAUUUCAAAAUAGUUCUUGAUCAUUAAAGAACCAACCAGUAUGUCUUAAAAACAAACAAACCAAUCUUUUGGAAAGUUUCUGCUGAAUGUGUGCCCUUCCGACUCACUUCUUAUCCUUUCUGUCAGAAACACCCCAGAAAAGGGGGUCUUGCCUUUGAACCACUCUGCUACUUUAAUCUUCCUGCUUCUGUCUGACCUACCUUCCUUCUUUCAGUAGCCAGGAUCCUUUCAGAGUGAGCUCCAAAAGGUGGGGAUUCUCCAGCCACGAGUGCCCUCUGAAAUUCUAUCUUACUUAGAAUAAAAUAUCUAGAUUUAUACAGUGUCCCCUUGUAUGGGUGGUGGCUUUUUUUUUUUUUCUAUCAUUUUCCUGCUUGUUCACACCACUCUCUCCCUGGCCUUCUUAUGUCACAGAUUUCCUGAGUACACUCUGGCCUCAGUCUUUCCAUGAAGUAACUCUCCUUUCUAGAACAUUCUUGCCUGCAUAACUAUCUGCUUCUGUCCUCACUGUAUUCUGAUCUGUAUUUCUAUGUCAAUUUCCAGACAGGCAUUCUCUGCCCAUCCUCUAAAGUGUGCCCCCUGUCUUCUUUGCUGUUACCUGUAUGCCCUAAGUCUAAGUCACUGACCUUAUUGUAGACUAAAUUUGUUAGCAUUUCUUUCCAGGAUGCAAGCCUAGUGAUGAAGGAGUCAUUGUUCCAUUGUCAGAAUAGCUACAGAAUCCAGCCUGUUCUGCCCUGGAUGCUUUAUUAAGUAAUGAAGCUCAAUAAAACAAUUUGACCAAGUUUUAAGCGUGAUUUUUUUUAGAACCUUUGAAAUGGGCCUUGAGACGACUUCUUGAAGAGUUCUGGAUAUGCUCUCAACACAAGGACCAGAGAUGAAGAAAUGUUUGGAAAUGAGUACAUUGGUGAUGCUGUGGAGGUGAUUGAAUGAACCUUGCACUCAUUAGAUAAUCUCCCUUCCUCUCUCCCUAGGUAUCUUUGAGCAGUCUUAGUCUAAGCAGCAUUCUCUUCUAUGGGGGUUUAUGGACAGAAUGGCUUGGCAUUUAUGGGCUUUCUAUUGGAACACAGGAGUUCUGUCUUUUCCUUGAAAUAUGUGCAGACUGGUGACUGUUGUAUGCAGCUCCUGCCUUGUGUUCUUGGAGUAGAAGCACCAGGAGAACAUGGUGAGGGUGAUGCUGAAGAGCCACUCUUAACCUAGCUAUGGCCUUGGAUUAGCUCCCUGCCAGCGAUGGUCAUCUUGACUAUUUAGGCCUUUGGCAUUUCUGUAUGACCACAAUCUAAGUGACAUGUGAGUACCAGGGCAUGGGAAAUCCCCAGUGAGAACCACCCCACCAAGUCCUUCCCAGAUUCCUGACCAAAAUCAUGACAAGCAGUACGAAAUGACUGGUGUUUUAAAACACCAAGUUCUGCCAUAAUUUGUACUCGGCAAUGAAAUGCAGUCCCCACUGUAAUUCUCCUGCACACUAGGCAACUGGGCAAAUGACUUUCAGUAUUAAGCACAUCAAACUUCUCACCUCUGUGUUAGGAGUACUCAUGUAGAUGUUGCCAUUGAUCAGUCUGAAAGUAAGUUUUGUUUAAAUGCAACAGGCUUUGCAGCAGCUACUAUGUUUCUUCCAAUCUAGACGCCACCCAAAAAGAAAGAAAAGAAAGGUGUAGCUCUCCAUUAAUUUAUGCUUACAGAGAGAGAAACAAAUCUUGCCAGUGAAACUACAGCCUGCCUCUGAUUGGAGGAUACUUCUCCUUUCAAAAGAUUCAUGUCUGAAAACUUCUGAUUAGAAGGCUGAUGAGCACAAAGACAAGGCUGUGCCCAGAUGAAAAGUAAAAGCCUGAAGACUCAAGUUUGUGAUAAAUGGAGAGAUCAGAAGAAAUAUGGCUUUGUAUCAGAGAUGUAUAACUGUUGCCCCAUUUUCCACAAUGUAACACCGAGGUAUAAUACUGCUUGUGAUCUGGGCCAGAAAGUGAUCUCCUUGGACCAUUGCCAACUAGAAGGAGUCAAAUGGCAUUGCUUCAUGGCUCUUUAGCCAAACUGUGCUCUGUGAGAAGGAUGAAGUCAGAUCUCUAAAUCAGGUUGUGUUGAGCUGUUGUUAGCAAGAGCUUGUCUGUGGCAAUGAUGACCAGUCAAGCCCCAUUUCCUUCUGCUUCUUAUGACAUUCCCUUUUUAGGACAUGAACUGGCAUUUCCAUCUGAGAUGCCAACCAGAGUGCAGAAGA